rnacentral:rRNA from 1 species
UACGUAGGGUGCAAGCGUUUAAUCGGAAUUACUGGGCGUAAAGCGUGCGCAGGCGGUUCGGCUAAGACAGAUGUGAAAUCCCCGGGCUCAACCUGGGAACUGCAUUUGUGACUGCACGGCUAGAGUACGGUAGAGGGGGAUGGAAUUCCGCGUGUAGCAGUGAAAUGCGUAGAUAUGCGGAGGAACACCGAUGGCGAAGGCAAUCCCCUGGACCUGUACUGACGCUCAUGCACGAA